UCACCUGCCGAAUACUAGGGCCCCGAAAAUGAAUGGCGCAUAUAGUACUACCGAUCUCAGACAUCAGUUCUAUUGAACUGAGAGUAGGGGGAUGUGGACAUUUUUGUGAAGGUGCAAUGUGAGUUGGACUGGAAGAAUGUCUAUUACAGAUCCUAAUUGAAGUAGCGAUUAUCCAGGCUUGUAUCCUGGGGGCUGAUGAGGAGUAGGGUUUCUGGACAACUUAAACAGAUCCAGAGUUAGUCGAUCCUAAUCUCAAUAAUGGGAGAAAGGGAGUACAGUUGAUAUUCUGUAACUGACAACAGUUCGCGGCAACGCAUACUAUUUUUCUCCGCCAAUCUUAUACCGUUGGUAGGGAUCUCUUUCCUACAUGACAGUACUAAUACCCAGGGAAACUGGUCAUCAGGCGAACUGCGGCGUUCUGCUGGCAAAACAUAGCUUCGGUUAUGUCAAUGGCUAUUGGAUUGGUCCAUGAAGCGAAAAAUAGUUUACUGUGUCACUCGUACCGAUAACCGCAUCAGGUCUUCUAGGUAAGUAGCCUAUGGCCAUUGAGGCAUGAUAGUUCAGGGAAUUCGGCCAAUUAGAGCUGUAACUUCGGGAUAAAGCUUGGCUCUGAUGAAAAUCAGAACCGAUUGUUACGCGGAGAGCCCAACUGUUUAAUAAAAACGUAGUGUCGCGCUGUGGUAGUAUAGCCAGUGAACGCGACAUGAAUCCUGCUCAGUGCUGUGUCUGUUAAUAUGGUUCAAGCCAACGAAGCACCGGUAAAUAGCUGGGGUAACUAUGACUCUUAUCAAAGUAGCGAAAUACCUCGUCACUUAAUUAGUGACCUGCAUGAACGGAGCUAUGAGGUUCUCACUGUCCCAAACUGUCUCUCAGCGAACCAACUGUAGUGGGAACGGUCACUAGAUAUCCAGCGGGGGAAAGAAGACCCUGUAGAGCUUCACUUUGGGUCUAGUCUUGUAUAGUUCCUGCGGGGGUGUAGACUA
rnacentral:ncRNA from 2 species